AGGAUUUUAAGUUAUUUAUUAAACUUAAAGCCUUCAAAGCUUUCAAAAAAAGAUUAUUUUAAAUCCUA
rnacentral:tRNA from 1 species